UUCAACGACAACCAAAAAGAAGAAUCUAUCUAUGGCUAAAAAUUGUGCGUCACAUGCAAUUACAAUAAUGUUUAUUAUAGGAGUAGUUAUAUGUUCUGCCAUUACUGAUUUACAUGAUACUCUUUCUAAACAACGUUGGACUAGGUCUUAUUAUAUUGCAUUUGAGUUGGAUAUAUGCAUCGCUCGAUGUCGAAGACAGUUUCCACAUGAGUCAAUAAGUAAGGCAUUUUGCAUUGCACAAUGCUAUGAACAAUAUCGGCGACUACCUCCUUAAGUAACAAGUAACACAAUGUUCAUAUAAAUCUUCCAAUGAAUUGAAGAAGAUUUGAGAUCUUUAUUGAGAUCAAGAAGUGAUCCAUGUGGCUGAUUUUAGGUGUUUUAUUUAAUGCAUUUAUUUAUGUUUUUUUUUUUUUGUGCUUCAGUUAUCUUUAAGUUUCAACAACUUCAUCUUACUUUUUAUAAGACAAUAUAUAAUAACUACUUGAGUUA